GUUCGGCCGGGAGGCUCCGCCGCGGCUCCGCAGCCCUCACUCCCCGUAGAGCCGCCGGUUCGAGUCCCGCGUCCGCGCCCCCGCCUGGCUGAGGAUUUUGGAAAUCCGAGGCUCGGGAACACGGUUGGGUCUUUCUGCAGCCCCGCGGGAAGAGCAAGGUCUGGAGGGAAGGAUGUGCAUUUGAAAAUCAGACGCCCCUCUUCUCUUUUGGACAAUAUUGAUGAAAACACAGAUUCAUCCCUGUGGGGGUGGGGGUCAAUCUUCAAAAUUCAUCUUAAAAGCAGCAAACGCGUACAAAAGGAGCUCUGGGCACAUGGAUAGUCCAUUGAGUGGUUCCGCUUUGCACAAGGAUAAGUGUUUAAAUCCCCUCCCACCUUCUGUGUCCUGAAACUUCUCUGAUUGACUAUGAUGGAACAAAGCGUAUUUGCCAAAAGAAAACGCUGUCUGUUCUCCUGCAGCUUAGAUGAGAAGCCUAGCCUGGUCAGCAGCCAGUGACUAGUCUGGGAGUCAUGAUUUGCUGUUGAUUUAUGGAGGGGAAGCUGACUGCCACUUAAUGCAUUACCCAGAGACUAACUUGAAACAAUAGGAUAGCUGCAAUUCAGGAACAUCCGGACCAAAUGAAGCACAAUGGAGAAGAUUUAGCAAUUCAUGUUUUGUGUGUUGGAUUAGAAAGGUUUUCCUGAUGUGGGGAUGGAUCUGUUAGUCGAUGGAAGGACUGCCUUAGCAUUUUGUCAUAGGUUUCAUUAUUUUGAACAAUGGCAUUUAUUAUUUAUGCAGUAAUCUGACUGUAAUUCCUUAUAAUGGCACUGUGUCAGAAGACAUCAUCUUUGCAGCUGCUUCCCUCUUCACUGUGGCACUGGAAACAGCUUUGCCCUUUGGAUACCUGUCAUCUCAACGGGCCAUCAUUCCGUUUUACAGCCAAGUGACCUGGAUAACGCUGCAGUGCUCUGUAGUCUGCACAAAGUCCAAUCAACCUGGUCUGGGUUUGUGCAUUAAAUAUCGUGAGGGAUUAGUUCCAGCUGCAGUUUUGCUGAGAUAGCCUGACUUCCAGUUUAGCAGUGACAGCGAUUCAUAAAUCCUCACAGAGAAGCCUCUGACUCACAAUUCAGGAUUACCAGCUGAGGCAGUUUGAGAUGUUGCUGUCGCCAGCUGGUUUUUUACCACUGGUUUGCUGUGAUUACCCUGCCCAUGGCAGCAGAGGAGGCAGAAGUAACCGUGUGUCGGUGUCUCAGUUACUCCAGCUGCAUUUCUGUUUUGGCAUCAUCAUCCAAACCCAGUCUCAGUCCCUGCUGUUCUCUAAUACGCUGGGCAGUGAAGCCUAACAGCUGAUGUGCGGGCAUCCUUCCCUACUCGCCCGCGUCUGCUGUGGCACAGCAGCUUUCGACACAGAGACAAGAUGGACAAGUGCAAAUAGAGAAUUUCAUCCAUCGAAGUCCUGGGGCUCUAGUUCAUCCCAAGUCCUAUGCUGGUGUCCACAAAUACCCUAUCAAAGGCCCCCUCAUUCUGCUGACUCCCAACUACCAUCUCCAAAAGAUACGUCUUUCAAAGGACUGGCAUAGUCCCCAGAGCAGGAGAUGCAGCAGGAGCUUAUAUCAAUUCUCCCCUGAACUGCUCACUGCACUCCUCUGAGGAGAGAGCAUGCAACGAGUCCCAGUUGUUCUGUGUUCUUACAGAAGCAGGUCAUAGCAAUUAGGCUGUGUGAAACGACCUGGGAAAAUAUCUUGUACAGUCUGAGUUACUCAGUAACUAGACCUGUUAACAGAGAAAGUACAAAACAAGCACUAACUCCACGUUAGGAAUCUAAGUUGAAAUUGUUUCAAUUGAGGAAAACCAAGGAGUUUCAUUUUCUAGACCUUCAUUUUCCUUUUUUUUAGCUUGUUUCAGCACGCUUUUCAGCCUCUUCUAACAAAAGAGGUCUCAAACAUUAGUGAAAAUUGCCAGUUAAUGAUUCUUAGUCAAGCUUUUAUAGACAUGAAACUAGUGCUCGGAAAGAUGUACAGGACCUGAAACACUCAUAAGACUUGCCAGUUCUGAAAUCCUGCUCUUGAUACUGUAGUUGUAUUGCAUCUUGUAUUUAGAGAAGGAAAGAGAAACCGUUCUGUUGUUUGUGAUUAAAACAUAACUAAACAACACGGCUGCCAACAUUAGUGCUUUUGUGUGGUUUUCUGCCGCUGAGGAGGCUAUCAGAGGGUGGGCCGCUGCAGGUAACAAA